GACGAACGCUGGCGGCGUGCUUAACCCAUGCAAGUCGAACGGUGAAGCGCCUUCCUUUUUGGUGGGUGUGGAUGAGUGGCGAACGGGUGAGUAACACGUGAGUAACCUGCCCCCUUCUUCUGGAUAACCGCAUGGAAGUGUGGCUAAUACGGGAUAUUCUGGGUCUGUCGCAUGAUGGGUCUGGGAAAGAUAUUGUUUCGGUGGGGGAUGGGCUCGCGGCCUAUCAGCUUGUUGGUGGGGUGAUGGCCUACCAAGGCGGUGACGGGUAGCCGGCCUGAGAGGGUGGACGGUCACACUGGGACUGAGACACGGCCCAGACUCCUACGGGAGGCAGCAGUGGGGAAUAUUGCACAAUGGGCUCAAGCCUGAUGCAGCGACGCCGCGUGAGGGAUGGAGGCCUUCGGGUUGUGAACCUCUUUCGCCAGUGAAGCAGGCCUGCCUCGUUUGUGGGUGGGUUGACGGUAGCUGGAUAAGAAGCGCCGGCUAACUACGUG
rnacentral:rRNA from 1 species